GAGUUUGAUCUUGGCUCAGAAUGAACGUUGGCGGCGUGGAUUAGGCAUGCAAGUCGUACGAGGGUAUUCCUUCGGGGAUACUUUAGUGGCGUAAGGGAGAGUAACGCGUGGAUACCUGCCCUCUGGUCUGGGAUACCUACGGGAAACUGUAGUUAAUACCGGAUAAAGUCUCCGGACCAAAAGUGUGAUUCUGCCGGAGGAGGGGUCCGCGUCCUAUUAGCUUGUUGGCGAGGUAAUGGCUCACCAAGGCGAUGAUGGGUACGGGGUGUGAGAGCAUGCCCCCGCUCACUGGGACUGAGACACUGCCCAGACACCUACGGGUGGCUGCAGUCGAGAAUCUUCGGCAAUGGGCGCAAGCCUGACCGAGCGACGCCGCGUGCGGGGAUGGAGGCCUUCGGGUUGUAAACCGCUGUCAGUGGGGAAGAAACGCUUUGAGUUAAUAGUUCAAAGCCUGACUUAACCCGGAGAGGAAGCAGUGGCUAACUCUGUGCCAGCAGCCGCCGUAAC
rnacentral:rRNA from 1 species